AUAUUCUCACGGAUGAGUGAUGACGGAGAGAAAUCGGAUGACGGAAGUCGGAGCUAGUGCGUUAGCUACCAUACAAAUAGUUCUAUGACCACUUUAGAACGUAUUUUCACGAACUCGGAUCGGACGCAGUACGUAAUCGCCCUUAGUAAGCAAAGUUACCC